GUGCUCGCUUCGGCAGCACAUAUACUACAAAAAUUGGAAGGAUACAGAGAAGAUUAGCAUGGCCCCUGCGCAAGGAUGACACGCAUUCCAUAUUUAAAAAAACAAACAAAC
rnacentral:snRNA from 1 species